rnacentral:lncRNA from 1 species
AUGAGAUGCCAAGAUGGCACAGCAGUGGCAGGAAAUUUCAGCGAAGAGCCAAGAGAGAAAGUGGCAGCCUGGAGAGAAGACUCAAGAUGGCAGCCGAGGCUCAAGUCACCUGGAGGCUCCAUUGGGACACCUGAACACUGGGCAGCAGGGCCCCUUUUCCUUUCUAUGUAUCAUCAUGGCUUCUCCAAGUCAUCUCUCUCUUAUAGCUAUGCUAUUUACAUGGUAACUAAGAGAUCUCAAAAGCACGAAAAUGGAAGCUGUCAGGUCAUCUUAAGGUUUAGAAGUGAAACUGAUGCAGUGUCCGUCACCAGCUUCUCUUGAUUAAAGCAAGUCAACAAGAUCAUCCAACAAUUAUCAUGGGAAGGGACUACGCAACUGGGUGAAUGCCAGCCAUGAUGGUUUAUUGGGGGCCAUAUUUGGAAACUGGCUACCGUAGGAGUCAUUCAAGACUCCUCUGAGUACCUCCAAGAGUGGGCAACGUGUUGAAAGGAGGAAAAGAAAGCAUAUGGUUCAAGCAGUAAGACAAAGCACAUAUAUGUUUACUUUCCUUGCACAGAAUUCAUUCCCGUUGUAGUUCAGUGUUUUCUAAUUUUCAUUAAAUAUCAUAUGUUCCACGUUAAAGCAAUUUUUCCAAUUGACUUCUCCUUGGUAAUUGUUUUCAUAGAAACAUUGCUGUCUAAUAUCUUCCUUUUUCUGAGUCCUGAAACAAAUGUAACAGGAUAACACUGAAACUGCCUACUUUAUACAGUGUAACUGCUGACCCUUAAACAUGUAGAAAUUGUGUUAAGUACGUUUACUCCUAUCCAGAGUCCACGAAGGAGAAGUCGCAUUCUUAGCGUAAGUUCUAAAGGUAGCAUCUAGGUAGAAACAAUUUUUAUAGAUACGCAAAGAAUAAGACUAGGUUUUUCUUCCAUGACAGAGUAGACAGCAUUUUCAAAAGGCAAUUUUAAAAAAAAUUGAGAAGCAACAUGAAACCAUGCAUGAGACACUUAUGACAAAUGUGAUACAGAGGGAAUGUGUGGAUUUGAUAAAU